rnacentral:rRNA from 1 species
GACGAACGCUGGCGGCGUGCCUAAUACAUGCAAGUAGAACGCAGUUGCGAACGGGUAAGUAACGCGUAGGUAACUGCCUGGUAGCGGGGGAUAACUAUUGGAAUCGAUAGAUAAUACCGCAUCCUACCAGAUGGACCUGCGUUGUAUUAGCUAGUUGGUGGGGUAACGGCUCACCAAGGCCACGAUACAUAGCCGACCUGAGAGGGUGAGCGGGCACACUGGGACUGAGAAAAGGCCCAGACUCCUACGGGAGGCAGCAGUAGGGAAUCAUCGGCAAUGGACGGAAGUCUGACCGAGCAACGGCGCGUGAGUGAAGAAGGGUUUCGGAGCGUAAAGCUCUGUUGUAAGAGAAGCGUUAUCUUACCAGAAAGGGACGGCUAACUACGUGCCAGCAACCGCGGUAAUUC